CGGUGAAACCGCGAAUGGGUCAUUAAAUCACACCUAAUGUCCUGGACGGUGUCAGUUACUUGGAUAACUGCGGUAAUUCUGGAGCUAAUACAUGCGCAGGUGUGUCUUUUUAACUAGAGAUACGCUUUUAUUAGACCAAGACCAAACUUUCUUUUCGAAGGGAGUUUUAAUUUGGACGACUCCGGAUAACUUUGGGCCGAUCGCACGGCCUUUGCGCCGGCGACGCGUCCUCUCAAGGUGUGCCCUAUCAACUGUCGACUGUGGCAUAGUCGCCCACAGUGGUUAUGACGGGUAACGGGGAAUCAGGGUUCGAUUCCGGAGAGGGAGCCUGGGAAACGGCUACCACAUCCAAGGAAGGCAGCAGGCGCGCAAAUUACCCAAUGGCCGAAGGCCGAGGUAGUGACGAAAAAUAACGAUACGGGACUCUUAUGAGGCCCCGUAAUCGGAAUGAGACCAUUUUAAAAACUUUAACGAGGAUCGAUUGGAGGGCAAUUCUGGUCCCAGCAGCCGCGGUAAUCCCAGCUCCAAUAGCGUAUAUAAAAGUUGUGGCGGUUAAAAAGCUCGUAGUUGGAUCUCGGCGUUUGGGGGACGGUUCGCUUUAGUGCGUWAACUGUCUUUUUUAGACGCUUUUAUUUGGCGUAGGAAAUAAAUGUCCUUAAUCGGGKGUUUAGUUUCUGUACGUCGUGUUUACUUUGAAAAAAUUAGAGUGCUCAAAGCAGGCGAAAUUUUAGUUCGCUUGAAUAUCAGUGCAUGGAAUAAUGGAACAGGACGCCGCUUCUGUUUUGUUGGUCUUUGGAAGCCGGCGUAAUGAUUAAGAGGGACGGGACGGGGGCAUUCGUAUUCGGACGACAGAGGUGAAAUUCUUGGACCGUCCGAGGACGAACUACUGCGAAAGCAUUUGCCAAGAACGUUUUCAUUAAUCAAGAACGAAAGUUAGAGGUUCGAAGGCGAUCAGAUACCGCCCUAGUUCUAACCAUAAACGAUGCCAGCUAGCGAUCCGCGGACGUUUUAAUCGUAGACUCCGCGGGCAGCUUCCGGGAAAACGAAACGGUUGGGUUCCGGGGGAAGUAUGGUUGCCAAGCUGAAACUUUAAGGAAUUGACGGAAGGGCCCCACCCGGAGUGGAGCCUGCCGCUUAAUUUGACUCCACACGGGGAAUCUCACCAGGSCCGGACACCGGAAGGAUUGACAGAUUGAUAGCUCUUUCUCGAUUGGGUGGUUGGUGGUGCAUGGCCGUUCUUAGUUGGUGGAGCGAUUUGUCUGGUUAAUUCCGAUAACGAACGAGACUCUGUCCUGCUAAAUAGUCCUUCCAUAUUUGGUUCCUUAAUGGGGA
rnacentral:rRNA from 1 species